GAUGAAGAACGUAGCGAAAUGCGAUAAGUAGUGUGAAUUGCAGAAUUCAGUGAAUCAUCGAAUCUUUGAACGCACAUUGCGCCCCAUGGUAUUCCGUGGGGCAUGCCUGUUCGAGCGUCAUUUACCCCCUCAAGCUCCGCUUGGUGUUGGGCGUCUGUCCCGCUUCGCGCGCGGACUCGCCCCAAAGGUAAUGGCAGCGGUCGUGCCAGCUUCUCGCGCAGCACAUUGCGCUUCUCGAGGCACCGGUGGGCCCGCGUCCAUCAAGCUCACCCCCCCAGUUUGACCUCGGAUCAGGUAGGGAUACCCGCUGAACUUAAGCAUAUCAAUAAGCGGAGGA
rnacentral:misc_RNA from 1 species